ensembl:processed_transcript
CUCUGGAUCUAUUGCCAUUUUUCCACAACACCAGCAGCCUACAGAGCGGUAAGAAAACAUCUGCUGCCAACCUCUCCAGGCUGGCCUCGGACAGUAGCCUCUUGAAGGGGGUGCCUGCAGAGGCCAGAAGAGGCUGUGAGAUCCCUGGAGCUGAACUUACAAGUGGCUGAGAGCUAGUCGCCUGACUGAUAUUGGCACUGAGAACUGAACUCAGGCCACAGUCUUCAUGUGGACAUUUUUGAGGUAAUACCUGCAGACUAACUCUAACAGAGUGCAGCGUGAACUCUUAGAUGAGCUUCUUCCAGUGAUGACAUUUUCCAAAACUGUGGCACAAUGUCAUGACCAGGACACUGACCGGAUGCAGCCAACAGCUCUUACCAGAUAGCACUUCUAUGGCCUGUGAAGGGUCUGUAAGUCCGACACUGUAGUCAAGGUAACAAAGAUCUCUGAGUUGCCCACUGUGGGGACUAUAUGACACUGCCAUUAGCACUCACCGAGACAAGCGUUUCCUGAUGGCCUGAAUCUGUGGGUGUGAUCUUAUGCAGCAUUAGGGACUGUUUCAGUUACUGCUCUAUUGCUAUGAUGAGACGCCAACUUGUAUAAAGGAAAACAUUU